GGGGCUGUUUCGGAUUCGACAUUUAGACUUCUUUCUAUAUGUUCAAAUAGUUUAUAAAACUGUAUACCAAAAUAAGUGCAAACAACAUCUUAUCUUUUAUUACAAGAACUAACAAAAACCAGUUAGCACUGGCUUAGUUUCUUGAUUUGUCAGCAAAUACAAUUUUCGGUAUUUGCUGAACUUUUUUAAUAAUCAGCGUUUAAAUAAAGAAGAAGCACAUAUAACAUUAUAUGUAGAGACUAAAUCGUAAUGGUUAUUCUAAAAAGAGAUACCCAAUAGUUUAGAGAUCUAAAUGGACGUGGGUUCAAGUCCCACCAGCUCCAACG
rnacentral:tmRNA from 1 species